rnacentral:lncRNA from 1 species
UGCUGGCGCCAUUGGGCAGCGGCUCUCCAAUGGACUGGCUCGGCUCUCUAGCCCAGUGCUGCACCGCCUGCGCCUUCGGGAGGAUGAGAAUGCUGAGCCGGUGGGCACCACCUACCAGAAGACGGAUGCGGCCGUGGAGAUGAAGCGGAUUAACCGUGAGCAGUUUUGGGAGCAGGCCAAGAAGGAGGAGGAGCUGCGGAAGGAGGAGGAGCGGAAGAAGGCUUUGGACGCCAGGCUCAGGUUUGAGCAGGAGCGGAUGGAGCAGGAGCGGCAGGAGCAGGAGGAACGGGAACGGCGCUACCGAGAGCGGGAGCAGCAGAUCGAGGAGCACAGGAAACAGCAGAGUCUGGAAGCUGAAGAGGCCAAGAGGAGGUUAAAGGAUCAGUCUAUCUUUGGUGAUCAGCGAGAUGAAGAGGAAGAGUCCCAGAUGAAGAAGUCGGAAUCUGAGGUGGAGGAGGCAGCUGCCAUCAUUGCCCAGCGGCCUGAUAACCCACGGGAGUUCUUCAGACAGCAGGAACGAGUGGCUUCAGCCUCUGGUGGCAGCUGUGACGCACCCUCGCCCUUCAACCACCGACCAGGCAGUCACCUGGACAGCCACCGGAGGAUGGCGCCCACUCCCAUUCCCACCCGGAGCCCAUCUGAUUCCAGCACAGCCUCCACCCCCAUCACGGAGCAGAUCGAGAGGGCCCUGGAUGAGGUCACAUCCUCGCAGCCUCCACCCCCACCUCCACCACCCCCACCAGCUCAAGAGGCCCAGGAGUCUGCUCCCAGACUGGACGGUGAAGAGGUCUGCAAGGAGGCCAAAGUAGCAGCAGCUCCUCAGGUCUGGGCUGGCUGUGCAGAGGAGCCUCCUCGGGCACAGGAACCUCCCCUGUUGCAAAGCAGCCCCACGGAGGACUUGAUGUGCACAGAAUCUCCUGAGCAGGCUGUCCUGGCGGCCUCUCCAGAGCCUGAUGCCUCUGUCACCUCAGUAGCUGAUGCUCAUGCAGCUGACACCAUCGAGACCACCACUGCCACUACUGCCACCACUAUUGCCGACAACGUCACCCCUGCCGCCGCCAGCCUCAUUGAUCUGUGGCCUGGUAACGGGGAAGAGGCCUCAACGCCUCAGGCUGAACCCAGGGUGCCCACCCCACCCUCAGGUGCUGAGGCCUCCCUGGCAGAGGUGCCUCUGUUGAAUGAGGCAGCUCAGGAGCCGCUGCCACCAGUGGGCGAAGGCUGUGCCAACCUUCUUAAUUUCGAUGAGCUGCCAGAACCUCCAGCCACCUUCUGUGACCCAGAGGAGGAAGCCGAAGGAGAGCCGCUGGCUGCCUCCCAGGUCCUAACUAUGCCCUCAGCCCUAGAGGAGGUAGAUCAGGUGUUGGAGCAGGAGUUGGAGCCAGAACCUCAUCUGCUGACCAAUGGAGAGACCACUCAGAAGGAGGGGACCCAGCAGGCCAGCGAAGGAUACUUCAGUCAGUCACAGGAGGAAGAAUUCGCCCAAUCAGAAGAGCCAUGUGCAAAGGCUCCACCUCCUGUAUUCUACAACAAGCCUCCAGAAAUCGACAUCACCUGCUGGGAUGCAGACCCAGUUCCUGAAGAGGAAGAGGGCUUCGAGGGUGGUGAUUAGUAGUGGCGACUGCCCCCUGGCUGCCCUCGCCAAGGCUGCCCACCUGCAGUGGCCUCUGGCCAGCCGGCUUGCAGCGCCAGCAUUAGCAGCAGCCCCGCCUGGCUCCCACUCUGGAUUCCGGCACUGGCCGGGGACCUGUCUGCUUCUCUACCCACAGGGCCUGACUUUUACAGCUUUUCUCUUUUUUUUAAAAGUUGAUAGACUUGUACAAUUGACUGGUUUUCCUCCCGUUGGUAGUUGAAACAAUGUUGCAGAUUCCACCCCCUUCCUGCCCAGACCAGAUUGUAGCUUAGUCCUUCCUGCUCAGCUGACCAGGGUGGAGGCCUCACCCUGCUUGGGACCUGGUGGGGGUCGGGGGUUCUGGUGGGAAAAUGUUCCCCCCCAUCACUUUUCCUAGUUUUAUGUUUCUUGGAAAAAAAAUAUCACUUUGUAUUCUCUAUCCAGGGCUUCAGAUAUUUUGCACGAAAUUUAAAACAUGGCAAUAAAUGGCUCGUGGGCUCUGGCUCCCUGGGACCCCACCCCUUCUCUUUACCCUCGCUGCUUGGUCGAAAGGAAUUAUCAGACCCACCUGGGGCCCCUUGGCUUCCC